rnacentral:rRNA from 1 species
GACAGAGGGUGCAAACGUUGUUCGGAAUUACUGGGCGUAAAGCGUGUGUAGGCGGCCAUGUAAGUCGGGUGUGAAAGCCCCGGGCUUAACCCGGGAAGUGCACUCGAAACUGCGUGGCUUGAGUAUCGGAGAGGUUGGUGGAAUUCUCGGUGUAGAGGUGAAAUUCGUAGAUAUCGAGAGGAACACCGGUGGCGAAGGCGGCCAACUGGACGAAUACUGACGCUGAGACACGAAAGCGUGGGGAGCAAACAGG